UGAAUACGAGACGCUAAGGCGUCGAAGUAGUGUAUAUCAGACUUCCAAGAAAAGCUUGCACUGUCAUAGAUAAAAAAUGCCUGUACCAUAACCGACACAGGUGGGUAGGUAGAGUAUACUAAGGGGCGCGAGAUAACUCUCUCUAAGGAACUCGGCAAAAUAACUCCGUAACUUCGGGAGAAGGAGUGCCUUAUUUAUAAGGUUGCAAUAACAAGAUCCAAGCAACUGUUUAUCAAAAACACAGGUCUCCGCUAAGUCGUAGGACGAUGUAUGGGGGCUGACGCCUGCCCAGUGCCAGAAGGUUAAAGAAGUUGGUUAGCAAUUGCGAAGCUGAUAACUGAAGCCCUGGUGAACGGCGGCCGUAACGAUAACGGUCCUAAGGUAGCGAAAUUCCUUGUCGGGUAAGUUCCGACCCGCACGAAAGGCGUAAUGAUUUGGAUACUGUCUCGGAGAGGGGCUCGGUGAAAUAGACUUGUCUGUGAAGAUGCGGACUACCUGCACCAGGACAGAAAGACCCUAUGAAGCUUUACUGUAACUUGAAAUUGAAAUUGGACUUUAUUCGCGCAGCAUAGGUGGGAGGCGUUGAUUAUAAUCUUGCGGGAUUAUUGGAGCCAUCAGUGAGAUACCACUCUUGUAAUGUUAGAUUUCUAACUUUGAAUCAUUAUCUGGUCAAAGAACAGUUUCAGGCGGGCAGUUUGACUGGGGCGGUCGCCUCCUAAAUGGUAACGGAGGCGUACAAAGGUUUCCUCUGAACGGUUAGAAAUCGUAUCUAGAGUGUAAAGGCAUAAGGAAGCUUGACUGUGAGACCUACAAGUCGAGCAGGGACGAAAGUCGGUCUUAGUGAUCUGACGGUACUGAGUGGAAAGGCCGUCACUCAACGGAUAAAAGUUACUCUAAGGAUAACAGGCUGAUCUCCCCCAAGAGUUCACAUCGACGGGGAGGUUUGGCACCUCGAUGUCGGCUCAUCGCAUCCUGGGGCGGUAGUACGUCCCAAGGGUUGGGCUGUUCGCCCAUGAAAGCGGUACGCGAGCUGGGUUCAGAACGUCGUGAGACAGUUCGGUCCAUAUCCGGUGUAGGCGUUAGAAUAUUGAGAGGAGCCUUCUUUAGUACGAGAGGACCGAGAAGGACAUACCUCUGGUGUACCAGUUAUCGUGCCAACGGUAAACGCUGGGUAGCUGUGUAUGGAGUGGAUAACCGCUGAAAGCAUCUAAGUGGGAAGCCCACCUCAAGAUAAGUAUUCUCAUC
rnacentral:rRNA from 1 species